GAUGAACGCUGGCGGCGUGCCUAAUACAUGCAAGUCGAGCGAACAGACGAGGAGCUUGCUCCUCUGACGUUAGCGGCGGACGGGUGAGUAACACGUGGAUAACCUACCUAUAAGACUGGGAUAACUUCGGGAAACCGGAGCUAAUACCGGAUAACAUGUUGAACCGCAUGGUUCAACAGUGAAAGACGGUCUUGCUGUCACUUAUAGAUGGAUCCGCGCCGCAUUAGCUAGUUGGUAAGGUAACGGCUUACCAAGGCAACGAUGCGUAGCCGACCUGAGAGGGUGAUCGGCCACACUGGAACUGAGACGCGGUCCAGACUCCUACGGGAGGCAGCAGUAGGGAAUCUUCCGCAAUGGGCGAAAGCCUGACGGAGCAACGCCGCGUGAGUGAAGAAGGUCUUCGGAUCGUAAAACUCUGUUAUUAGGGAAGAACAAAUGUGUAAGUAACUAUGCACGUCUUGACGGUACCUAAUCAGAAAGCCACGGCUAACUACGUG
rnacentral:rRNA from 1 species